rnacentral:tRNA from 1 species
GAGGGUAGAGCUCAGUGGUAGAGAGCAUGCUUAGCAUGCACGAGGUCCUGGGUUCAAUCCCCGGGACCUCCA